rnacentral:rRNA from 1 species
UACGUAGGGUGCAAGCGUUGUCCGGAAUUAUUGGGCGUAAAGAGCUCGUAGGCGGCUUGUCACGUCGACUGUGAAAACCCGGGGCUCAACUCCGGGCCUGCAGUCGAUACGGGCUGGCUUGAGUGCGGUAGGGGAGACUGGAAUUCCUGGUGUAGCGGUGAAAUGCGCAGAUAUCAGGAGGAACACCGGUGGCGAAGGCGGGUCUCUGGGCCUGUACUGACGCUGAGGAGCGAAAGCGUGGGGAGCGAACAGG